rnacentral:rRNA from 1 species
CCUACGGGAGGCAGCAGUGAGGAAUAUUGGUCAAUGGGCGAGAGCCUGAACCAGCCAAGUCGCGUGAGGGAGUACUGCCCUAUGGGUUGUACACCUCUUUUGUCGGGGAGCAAAAGCCGGACGUGUCCGGCUGAGAGAGUACCUGAAGAAGAAGCCCCGGCUAACUACGUGACAGCAGCCGCGGUAAUAAGGAGGGGGCAAGCGUUAUCCGGAUUUACUGGGGGUAAAGGGGGAGCAGAAGGCGAUGCAAGCCAGGAGUGAAAGCCCGGGGCCCAACCCCGGGACUGCUCUUGAAACUGGGUGGCUGGAGUGCAGGAGGGGCAGGCGGAAUUCCGGGUGUAGCGGUGAAAUGCGUAGAUAUCAGGAGGAACACCGGUGGCGAAGGCGGCCUGCUGGACUGCAACUGACGUUGAGGCCCGAAAGCGUGGGGAGCAAACAGGAUUAGAUACCCUGGUAGUC